UCCCCAUAGUUCAUCACGGUAC
rnacentral:siRNA from 1 species